rnacentral:rRNA from 1 species
GAUGAACGCUGGCGGCGUACCUAAUACAUGCAAGUCGAGCGAAUGGAUUAAGAGCUUGCUCUUAUGAAGUUAGCGGCGGACGGGUGAGUAACACGUGGGUAACCUGCCCAUAAGACUGGGAUAACUCCGGGAAACCGGGGCUAAUACCGGAUAACAUUUUGAACCGCAUGGUUCGAAGUUGAAAGGCGGCUUCGGCUGUCACUUAUGGAUGGACCCGCGUCGCAUUAGCUAGUUGGGGAGGUAACGGCUCACCAAGGCAACGAUGCGUAGCCGACCUGAGAGGGUGAUCGGCCACACUGGGACUGAGACACGGCCCAGACUCCUACGGGAGGCAGCAGUAGGGAAUCUUCCGCAAUGGACGAAAGUCUGACGGAGCAACGCCGCGUGAGUGAUGAAGGCUUUCGGGUCGUAAAACUCUGUUGUUAGGGAAGAACAAGUGCUAGUUGAAUAAGCUGGCACCUUGACGGUACCUAACCAGAAAGCCACGGCUAACUACGUGCCAGCCGCCGCGGUAA